GGCUUCACCCUUACUAUAGUACUUUAACAUGAGAACUUGAUAUCUGUGGGGUUAAUGCCCCUACAAAUCAGGCUGCAGAGAGUUCCUUCAUGCUCUCUUCCACUUGAGGAGAUGGCUGUCUAUGAACUAUGAAGUGAGACUUCAUCAGACAUGCUUAGCUGUUGGUGUCUGUAUCUUGGACUUCACCGCCCCAAGAACUGUGAGAAAUAAAUUUCUGUUGUUUAUAAGGCUCUCAUUCUCUGGUAUUUUGUUACAGCAGCCUAAACAUACAAGAACGAGUGCUCUCUAUUCAAACACCAUCCUCCCUUCCUGUGCCAUUUUACCAGAAGGGUAGGACCUGGUGAUGAAGCCCAGACCUGAUGGACCAGAAGAAUCUGCAGUGACCUUGCCUACAUCCCCCACUCCCAGGCCUAAGAACUAAAGACAGCCCAUCUAGUAUAUCAGGACAUUAAAGGACCAGUUCUUGCUGUGAAUGAGAUCUGGAUAAAGUGUGUUAUUCCCAAGCAAGGUUUAAAGUCCUGGAUGAAUAUAGCAUCACUGCUGCCUCCGUGAGUCCUGGGCUGUUGCCUUCUCUCCUCACCCUCACCAUCUGUGGCCUGUCUG
rnacentral:lncRNA from 1 species